rnacentral:rRNA from 1 species
CCUACGGGAGGCAGCAGUGAGGAAUAUUGGUCAAUGGCCGGAAGGCUGAACCAGCCAAGCCGCGUGAAGGACGACGGUGCCAAGCAUUGUAAACUUCUUUUGUCAAGGGACAAAAUCAGGCUCGAGAGCCUGACCGAGGGUACUUUACGAACAAGCAUCGGCUAACUCCGUGCCAGCAGCCGCGGUAAUACGGAGGAUGCGAGCGUUACCCGGAUUUGUUGGGUUUAAGGGGUGCGUCGGGGGGCAGUUAAGUCAGCGGUAAAAGCCCGGGGCUAAACCCCGACGAGCCGUUGAAACUGGUGGUCUGGAGAGGGCGAGAGGGAGGCGGAAUGCGGAGUGUAGCGGUGAAAUGCUUAGAUAUGGCGAAGAACUCCGAUGGCGAAGGCAGCAUACCGGCGGCGAUCUGACGCUGAGGCACGAAAGCGUGGGUAUCGAACAGGAUUAGAUACCCGAGUAGUC